UCGAGAAUCUUCCGCAAUGGACGAAAGUCUGACGGAGCGACGCCGCGUGGUGGAUGAAGUCCUUAGGGACGUAAACACCUUUUAUGAGGGAGGAAGUUUAUUGACGUUACCUCAUGAAUAAGGGGCUCCUAACUCUGUGCCAGCAGGAGCGGUAAUACAGAGGCCCCAAGCAUUAUCCGGAUUUACUGGGCGUAAAGGGUGCGCAGGCGGUUCUGUAAGUCAGAUGUGAAAUCCCCGGGCUUAACCUGGGAAUUGCGUUUGAAACUGUAGAACUAGAGUGCGGCAGAGGGAGGUGGAAUUCCAUGUGUAGCAGUGAAAUGCGUAGAGAUAUGGAAGAACAUCGAUGGCGAAGGCAACCUCCUGGGCUAGCACUGACGCUCAUGCACGAAAGCGUGGGGAGCAAACAGGAUUAGAUACCCCCGUAGUCCCUGAGCGGGCUGGCAAGGCGCAU
rnacentral:rRNA from 1 species